CCACUAUGCUCAGCCCUAAAUCUAGAUGUCCAUACUUACCAGAACAUCCGCCUGAGAACUACGAGCACAAACGCUUAAAACUCUAAGGACUUGGCGGUGCCCUAAACCCACCUAGAGGAGCCUGUUCUGUAAUCGAUAAUCCACGAUGCACCCAACCACCCCUUGCCGAAGCAGCCUACAUACCGCCGUCGCCAGCUCACCUCUUAUGAAAGAGCCACAGUGAGCGCAAUAGUCUUAAUCGCACUAACAAGACAGGUCAAGGUAUAGCCAAUGGGCUGGAAGAAAUGGGCUACAUUUUCUAAGCUAGAAAAUUAUACGGACAGGGGCAUGAAACUGCCCCUAGAAGGCGGAUUUAGCAGUAAAGCGGGACAAAAAUGCCCCCUUUAAACUGGCCCUAGGGUACGU
rnacentral:rRNA from 1 species